rnacentral:rRNA from 1 species
AGAUUGAACGCUGGCGGCAGGCCUAACACAUGCAAGUCGAGCGGCAGCACGGGUACUUGUACCUGGUGGCGAGCGGCGGACGGGUGAGUAAUGCCUAGGAAUCUGCCUGAUAGUGGGGGAUAACGUUCGGAAACGGACGCUAAUACCGCAUACGUCCUACGGGAGAAAGUGGGGGAUCUUCGGACCUCACGCUAUCAGAUGAGCCUAGGUCGGAUUAGCUAGUUGGUAGGUAAAGGCCUACCAAGGCUACGAUCCGUAACUGGUCUGAGAGGAUGAUCAGUCACACUGGAACUGAGACACGGUCCAGACUCCUACGGGAGCAGCAGGUGGGGAAUAUUGGACAAGUGGGACGAAAGCCUGAUCCAGCCAUGCCGCGUGUGUGAAGAAGGUCUUCGGAUUGUAAAGCUAAGUUUAAGGUGGAAGGAAGGCAAUUAACCUAAUUACGUUAGUGUUUAGACGUUACGAC